CUGAUGCGUUGUUGGGUAGGGGAGCGUUCUGUAAGCCUGCGAAGGUGGCCUGUGAGGGUUGCUGGAGGUAUCAGAAGUGCGAAUGCUGACAUAAGUAACGAUAAAGCGGGUGAAAAGCCCGCUCGCCGGAAGACCAAGGGUUCCUGUCCAACGUUAAUCGGGGCAGGGUGAGUCGACCCCUAAGGCGAGGCCGAAAGGCGUAGUCGAUGGGAAACGGGUUAAUAUUCCCGUACUUGGUGUUACUGCGAAGGGGGGACGGAGAAGGCUAUGUUGGCCGGGCGACGGUUGUCCCGGUUUAAGCGUGUAGGUGUGUGUUCCAGGUAAAUCCGGUUCACUUUAACACUGAGGCGUGAUGACGAGGCACUACGGUGCUGAAGCAACAAAUGCCCUGCUUCCAGGAAAAGCCUCUAAGCAUCAGGUAACAUCAAAUCGUACCCCAAACCGACACAGGUGGUCAGGUAGAGAAUACCAAGGCGCUUGAGAGAACUCGGGUGAAGGAACUAGGCAAAAUGGUGCCGUAACUUCGGGAGAAGGCACGCUGACAC
rnacentral:rRNA from 1 species